AAAAACAUAGCCUAUGAUAUCCUAGGUGACUUCUGCCCAGUGGUUUUUAACGGCCGCAGUAUCCUGACUGUGCUAAGGUAGCAUAAUCAUUUGUUGUUUAAUUGACAACUAGUAUGAAAGAAUAUACAUGAUUUCUCUUAUCUCUCUCUUUAAUGUAAAUUAAUACAAUAGUAAAAAAGCUAUUAUUCCUUAGAGGGACGACAAGACCCUGUAAAACUUUAUCUCAAGCAAGCUUCAAGCAACAGCAAGAGAUUUGGCUGGGGCGGCUAUAAUUAACAAAAACAAUCUAGAAAAUAACUCAGUGUGAGAUUUAAAACUACCUUUGUAUAUAUUUGAACUAAAGUUACUUCAGGGAUAACAGCGUAAUAAAAUUUCAGAGACCUAAUCGUUAAUUUAUUUUACGACCUCGAUGUUGAAUUGAGAGAUCUUUUUGUGGCAGCAUGCAAAUAAGUAAGUCUGUUCGACUUUUAAAAUCUC
rnacentral:rRNA from 1 species